rnacentral:lncRNA from 1 species
GUUUAGUUAACAUCCAUCUCCUCAUAUAAUUAUAAAGAAAAAAAAUAUUUUUCCUUAUGAUGAGAGCUUUUAGGAUCUGCUCUCUUAGCAACUUUCAAAUAUGCUAUACAGCAGUGUUAACUAUACUCAUCAUGUCAUAAGGCUAAACUCUUUUAAUUUCCUCAUAGUGCUAUUGAUUUGUUUGAAUAUUUAUUGUCUGUCUUCAAAAAGUAACAUGUAAGCCCUUUGAAGGCAAGGAGGACUUUGUCUUAUUUCCUGCACAAAAAUAACACCAGGAAUGUGGUAGAUCUCCAAUAAAUAUGUGUAGACAGACUGACAGCAGAAAAAAGAGGCAAGAAUACCAAUUUUUUCCAUGCACAUCGGGAAGCAAAUCCAUUUCUAAGUGUAGGAUUUUACAGGGAAUCCUGAAAUCUUGUGACAUUUGAGAUAAUAUUAUACAUGUCUGAGCUUUUAGGAAUAUUCUAUCUAUUUAUUUUCUCAUUUUUAUUCAGUCAGCAAGUAUCGCUGAAACACCUAUAAUGUGCCCAGACAUCAGCCUGGACUUCGCAGAAAGACCUCAGCCGAGAUGGAAAUCCCCAGAGCAGCAUAAGAACGGACCCAGCCUCCCAAGGCUCUUGUCAUGGAUCAGGAGCAGCAAACUGAGGUGCUGAGUCUCCAAGUGGAUGAGCAGGAAGCUUCAGGACUGGAUUUCCAGGCAGCUUGGGCCCGGGGGGGAAUGUCUUCUAAGCAUGGAGGUAUUGCCUGGGAAAUGAAGGGAGAUCUGGAAAAAGAAAAAUAGCAGGAGGAAGCCCGGAGUGUCCCCAAAGAAAGCAGGACAAGGAGCCCUCGAAGUCAAAUGGCGGACUGUUUCCUACCAUUAUUGAUCAAGGAGGCUUGGAGAGGAUAGCAGUGGGGCCUCGGAUAAAGUUCCCCUGGCUUUUCUCCACAGUGCCCAUUUCCUGCUCUUCUCAGCAUCAGUGAUUCAGUCUGAUCCCCUCUUCUGUAGCCAGAGAUGCUGCUGAAGCUAACUAUAUGCCUGUAAUGACUGAAGAGGACCAUUGGGAGCAGGACUGAUUGCCUGGACUUGCAGCAUCCUUCAGACUCCCCUGCAACCAUCCU